rnacentral:tRNA from 1 species
UAAAAGGUAAGCUAAAUAAAGCUAUUGAGUUCAUACCUCAAAUAUAAAUAUAUUUUCUUUUAA